rnacentral:lncRNA from 1 species
GAGAGUUGGAGCAUGAAAAGUUGAGAGUGGGUUGGGCUUCCGUGCGUGAAAAACAGAGGAAGUGUUCUUCCUCUCAGGCAUGAGGUAUAGGGUUUAGGGUUUCAACUUUAGAUUUUGUGAGAAGAAAAAUGCAAGAGUGAGUCUUGUUCAAUCUCCCACACCACCACCUCCUUGUAAAGCUUCAUCUUUUAAUCUGAAAGUGUCUAGA